ACAAACCAUAAAAAGACAAGAUGGUCCAGCUUAAAACUAUACAAGUGGGCUGCUGCCGGUGCCGCCAAUGAGCCGCGAGGUGGCUUUGACUCUUGCUGCAGGAGUUCUCCCGCCUGUCCCCCGCAUCUCGCUGCCCGGCAGUUGACUUUGCCUUGAACCCCCAAAUUAAGCACUAUUAUCAGUAGUCUUGUAGCGCCACUGAGGAGGCCCAGUCAUAGAUGAAGACAGCAUUGUGCUAGGUGCUGUACAAACAUAACAAAGUCACAGGCCCUGCCUCAAAGAACUUACAGUCCAAGAUGAGAAAACAGCUGCAUGCAGGCAGAUAGGUGAGCAUAAGAAAACAGUAAAAGUAGUGGUGAGAGGGCAUGGUUACAGCAGCAAAUCCUGCCCCCUUUUCCCACCAUGCCCCUCCUGGGACUUUCACCCUACCAGUACCAGGUUGGGGCAAAGGUUUAGGAGCUCUCCUGUUGGUUGUGAGUCAGGGAGAAGGGAGCAGUUACCCUGAGCUACUGGGCUCUUCCUGCUUGAUCUAGUAAAAGGGGGUAAACUGUGAGAAGGUAAAGUUUGUUAAUGUUACAAAAUUAAGAUAGUUAAGUCUAAAGCACACGAUGAAAAGUUACAAAGGGAUCUCACAAACUGGGUGAGUGGGCAAAAAAAUGGCAGAUGAAGUUCAAUGUUGAUAAAUGCAAAGUAAUACACAUUGGAAAAUAUAAUGUCGACUAUACUUAAAAAAUGAUGGGGUCUAAAUGAGCUGUUACCACUCAAGAAAGUGAUCUUGGAGUCACCAUGGGUAGUUCUCUGAAAACAUCUGCUCACUGUGCAGCAGCAGUCAAAAAGCUAAAAGAAUGUUUGCAAGCAUUGGGAAUACUUGAAUACUGACACUGUUCUGGUUACCCCUUCUAAAAAAAAUGGAAAUGGAAAAGGUACAGAAAUUGGCAACAAAAAUUAUUAAGGGUGUAGAAUAGCUUGUAUAAGAGGAGAGAGAAAAAAAAUUGGGACUAUUCAGUUUGGAAAAGAGCAGCCAAGGGAGGAUAUAAUAAUAGCAGUCUAUAAAAUCAUGAAUGGUGUGGAGAAAGUGAAUAAGGAAGUGUUAUUUACCCCUUCAUAUAGUACAAGAACCAAGGGUCACCCAAUGAAAUUAGGCAGCAGGUUUAAUGCAAACAAAAGGAAGUGCUUCUUCACACAGUGCACAGUCAACCUAUGGACCUCAUUGCCAGCGGAUGUUGUGAAGGCCAAAAUUAUAAUUGGAUUAAAAAAAUUAGAUAAAUUUAUGGUGGAUAGGUUCAUUAGUGGCUAUUAGCCAACGUGGUCAGUGAUGCAGCUCCAUGCACUAGGUGUCCCUACACCUCUGACUGCCAGAUGCUGGAACUGGACGACAGGGGGAUGUAUCACUUGAUGAUUGCUUUGUUUUAUUCUUUCCUUUUGAAGCAUCUGCUGUUGGCUACUGACAAAAUGGGAUGCUUUGACUAGAUGGACCACUGGUCUGACUCAUUCUGGCUGUUCAUUCCAUUCCAGCAAGAAUGAUGUUGACUCCUGAGAGUGAAGCGCUCUGUCCACCUCCUUCAUAGGCUUGGCAUGCUGGUCAAUUGAGGGUAUCGCUACACUGCAGCGUAAGACCUGGGUUACUGGGAUUUGAGUUCAUGAACCCUGGGUUUGAAAGCCCAGGGCUUGUGUGUCCACACUCAUUGGUGACCCUAGGUUAAGAAUUUUUUAGCUUGGAUCCCCCAAUGUAACCCCUUUUGCCUUGGCUUAUGGAACCAUAUCCUGAUCUCAGAAAGCUUGGCAAAAGAAGAUUUAAUUGCACUCUCAGCAGAUGUAGAAUGGUGAUUGAAUGCGAGUUUGGCAGAUUGAAAUCCUUCUGGCGUUAUCUACAAACCUGUUUGGAUUCCACUGUCAUCAAUACUGUCUGCAUUUUUGUGACUUGCUGUGCCCUUUGUAAUCUUUAUGAAGCCAAAGAUGAGCCCUUUACCACUGAAUGGACCUAUGACAGUGAUGGAUUGCUGAAUUAGUAUACUCAAUCAGAACUGCACCUAUCACAUCUGAGGCAGGAUGCACCCGAACAACAGAAAUCAGGGGUGCUCUGUGCUCCCAUGUUGAGAACAUGGAUGGGCCAAUGGAAGAUGGAGAAUAAUACUUUUAUGAACGUUUUUCUACAGCAUUGUUUACAGUAAAUGAGGUACUAUGACAUCACACAAUGAAAUGGGGUCAGGGGAUGGGCUGUAUUGUCAAUGUACAGAGUGAGUAGGGGGAGGUAUUGAUUGUCCUGAAUUUUUAUUUUGGAUGAUAUGACAAUGUAAUGUGUGGGGAAACAGUGCAUUUACAUUAUUGAUUAAUGUGCAUAUAUAUUUUGAGAAAUUGUGUUUAGAUGCAACUUGCCUGUUGUGCCUUACCCCAUGUUUAUCUUUAUUAUUCAGAAUUCAUAUUAUAAGAUGUGAUGUAGUGAUGACAAACUUUCUUAAUAAAAUAAAAGCCUUUAUUUGAAUUACAAAAAUAACAAUAUUAGAGCAUUGCCAGGCAAGACCAGCUGUCACUAGAGCACAGAAACAACUGUAAUACACCAACACCACAAAGAGUAAUAAAACAAAGAGCACAAACCAAACAUUAAAUAGUGCCACCACAAAAAUCCCUUAAUUUUGCAUGUCCCCUAACAUGUUCUCCUUUCUUUUUAUUCAGCGAUUAUCAUGCAUUUGGUACUGCUGUACUGCACAAGUGUGGAGGUGUGCAGUGGGACGGCAGACUGCAAGAGGAAAGGGGCAUGCAUGGGGAUGGAAGUAUUCAGGAAGGGAAGGGGUUACUAUAGGGGUGCAAGUAAACUGGGGUAGACUUGGAGCUCUGUCCAGCUGCUGCUAAAUUGCAGUUGCAUGAGCCACCCAACUAUGGAAUUGUCCAACCUGUUCCUGUUAUGUGGUGCAUGUUACUGUGGAGGGGAAUCAGGCCAUGGUGCAGAUGCAGCAGAAGCCUGCACUAAUGGCCAUUAGCAAAAGCAGCCAUUCAAACAAGGCUUUCUGCUGUGCUCUGUCCUCCUCUGUAUACCAACAUUCCUGUUCCAGGAACUACAAUACAAGUGUCUGAUCUAAUGCUACAGUUCUGUUCUGGAGCUCUGCACCCUGCCUGUGCCUUUCCGAUUGCUUCUCCACUUGCCGUGAAUCAUCUCGAUAUUGCAUGGCUUUGUCCAAAUUUUUAAGCAUAAAUUCAUGAUGGAAAAACUUCCUCUUGGACCAGUCAGUUAUGAUACUGAGACCCAAGCUUCAGCUGGAACGUGUGCAAACUGCCAAGGUACAAUAGCCUAUGGCGGUCCCUGCAAGCUGACAUGAAACAGAAAAUUAUUGUCUCAGUACUUCUCAAAUGAUUCAGUGCAUGAGCACAAAAAAAAAUCUUCGUGGAAUUUCAAGGACAAAAAAAUUAUAGUUUGUAAAAUUGAACUUCAGUAUAUUGUGAGAACGCUUCAGAUUGUAGAAGCUCUAGGGACACAGCUGGAUUAAUUGCAGUGUAAGAAAUAUAUGGAGAAUGGUAAGUCAAAAAUCACAAUUUUGUUUAAAAAUUACAGACUGCUUUCGGGAAAGGGAGGUGACUGCAGCAUAGUACAUACGCCUUCUCUAUCCUUUCAGACGUUCCACUUUUUAGAGAACAUAACAAUUCUUGUGGUUCUUGCAUGGCAAAGAGAUUUUAUUCCAAGCUUCCAGAGGCAAGUGUGCGUGCCACUGAAGUAUUCAAAUUUAUGGUGACUGAACAGCUCAUGUAUGAGUACAGUGGGUUGGUCAGUUCCUGAGGUGGCACUGGAAAAUAUGCUGUUCCCUGAAAUAUGAUACCUAUCUGGAAAAGGUUUAUGGCUAUCAACACCCAGGAUUAGGACUUCAUUCAUGGAUGAAUUCAGGAUGCUCUGUUACUAUCUGCAUGGAUUACUGCCUCCCCAUGGCUU